GGGUUGUGAGGUUAAGCGACUAAGCGUACACGGUGGAUGCCCUGGCAGUCAGAGGCGAUGAAGGGCGUGCUAAUCUGCGAUAAGCGCCGGUAAGGUGAUAUGAACCGUUAUAACCGGCGAUACCCGAAUGGGGAAACCCAGUGUGACUCGUCACACUAUCAUUAACUGAAUCCAUAGGUUAAUGAGGCGAACCGGGGGAACUGAAACAUCUAAGUACCCCGAGGAAAAGAAAUCAACCGAGAUUCCCCCAGUAGCGGCGAGCGAACGGGGAGGAGCCCAGAGCCUGAAUCAGCAUGUGUGUUAGUGGAAGCGUCUGGAAAGGCGCGCGAUACAGGGUGACAGCCCCGUACACAAAAGCGCAUGUGCUGUGAGCUCGAUGAGUAGGGCGGGACACGUGGUAUCCUGUCUGAAUAUGGGGGGACCAUCCUCCAAGGCUAAAUACUCCUGACUGACCGAUAGUGAACCAGUACCGUGAGGGAAAGGCGAAAAGAACCCCGGCGAGGGGAGUGAAAAAGAACCUGAAACCGUGUACGUACAAGCAGUGGGAGCACAGGUUUACCUGUGUGACUGCGUACCUUUUGUAUAAUGGGUCAGCGACUUAUAUUCUGUAGCAAGGUUAACCGCAUAGGGGAGCCGGAGGGAAACCGAGUCUUAACCGGGCGUUAAGUUGCAGGGUAUAGACCCGAAACCCGGUGAUCUAGCCAUGGGCAGGUUGAAGGUUGGGUAACACUAACUGGAGGACCGAACCGACUAAUGUUGAAAAAUUAGCGGAUGACCUGUGGCUGGGGGUGAAAGGCCAAUCAAACCGGGAGAUAGCUGGUUCUCCCCGAAAGCUAUUUAGGUAGCGCCUCGUGAAUUCAUCUCCGGGGGUAGAGCACUGUUUCGGCUAGGGGGCCAUCCCGGCUUACCAACCCGAUGCAAACUGCGAAUACCGGAGAAUGUUAUCACGGGAGACACACGGCGGGUGCUAACGUCCGUCGUGAAGAGGGAAACAACCCAGACCGCCAGCUAAGGUCCCAAAGUCAUGGUUAAGUGGGAAACGAUGUGGGAAGGCCCAGACAGCCAGGAUGUUGGCUUAGAAGCAGCCAUCAUUUAAAGAAAGCGUAAUAGCUCACUGGUCGAGUCGGCCUGCGCGGAAGAUGUAACGGGGCUAAACCAUGCACCGAAGCUGCGGCAGCGAACGUAUCACUUAAAGCGAUUCAGCGGGUUACGAUUGACGGAGCGAAGCGACGUCAAAGCGUAUACAAAGUCGAGUCGGUUUAAGGAUACGUUCGUUGGGUAGGGGAGCGUUCUGUAAGCCUGUGAAGGUGGCCUGUGAGGGUUGCUGGAGGUAUCAGAAGUGCGAAUGCUGACAUAAGUAACGAUAAAGCGGGUGAAAAGCCCGCUCGCCGGAAGACCAAGGGUUCCUGUCCAACGUUAAUCGGGGCAGGGUGAGUCGACCCCUAAGGCGAGGCCGAAAGGCGUAGUCGAUGGGAAACGGGUUAAUAUUCCCGUACUUGGUGUUACUGCGAAGGGGGGACGGAGAAGGCUAUGUUGGCCGGGCGACGGUUGUCCCGGUUUAAGCGUGUAGGUGUGUGUUCCAGGUAAAUCCGGUUCACUUUAACACUGAGGCGUGACGACGAGGCACUACGGUGCUGAAGCAACAAAUGCCCUGCUUCCAGGAAAAGCCUCUAAGCAUCAGGUAACAUCAAAUCGUACCCCAAACCGACACAGGUGGUCAGGUAGAGAAUACCAAGGCGCUUGAGAGAACUCGGGUGAAGGAACUAGGCAAAAUGGUGCCGUAACUUCGGGAGAAGGCACGCUGACACGUAGGUGAAGUGAUUUACUCAUGGAGCUGAAGUCAGUCGAAGAUACCAGCUGGCUGCAACUGUUUAUUAAAAACACAGCACUGUGCAAACACGAAAGUGGACGUAUACGGUGUGACGCCUGCCCGGUGCCGGAAGGUUAAUUGAUGGGGUCAGCGCAAGCGAAGCUCCUGAUCGAAGCCCCGGUAAACGGCGGCCGUAACUAUAACGGUCCUAAGGUAGCGAAAUUCCUUGUCGGGUAAGUUCCGACCUGCACGAAUGGCGUAAUGAUGGCCAGGCUGUCUCCACCCGAGACUCAGUGAAAUUGAACUCGCUGUGAAGAUGCAGUGUACCCGCGGCAAGACGGAAAGACCCCGUGAACCUUUACUAUAGCUUGACACUGAACAUUGAGCCUUGAUGUGUAGGAUAGGUGGGAGGCUUUGAAGCGUGGACGCCAGUCUGCGUGGAGCCAACCUUGAAAUACCACCCUUUAAUGUUUGAUGUUCUAACGUGGACCCGUAAUCCGGGUUGCGGACAGUGUCUGGUGGGUAGUUUGACUGGGGCGGUCUCCUCCUAAAGAGUAACGGAGGAGCACGAAGGUUGGCUAAUCCUGGUCGGACAUCAGGAGGUUAGUGCAAUGGCAUAAGCCAGCUUGACUGCGAGCGUGACGGCGCGAGCAGGUGCGAAAGCAGGUCAUAGUGAUCCGGUGGUUCUGAAUGGAAGGGCCAUCGCUCAACGGAUAAAAGGUACUCCGGGGAUAACAGGCUGAUACCGCCCAAGAGUUCAUAUCGACGGCGGUGUUUGGCACCUCGAUGUCGGCUCAUCACAUCCUGGGGCUGAAGUAGGUCCCAAGGGUAUGGCUGUUCGCCAUUUAAAGUGGUACGCGAGCUGGGUUUAGAACGUCGUGAGACAGUUCGGUCCCUAUCUGCCGUGGGCGCUGGAGAACUGAGGGGGGCUGCUCCUAGUACGAGAGGACCGGAGUGGACGCAUCACUGGUGUUCGGGUUGUCAUGCCAAUGGCACUGCCCGGUAGCUAAAUGCGGAAGAGAUAAGUGCUGAAAGCAUCUAAGCACGAAACUUGCCCCGAGAUGAGUUCUCCCUGAGACUUUAGGUCUCCUGAAGGAACGUUGAAGACGACGACGUUGAUAGGCCGGGUGUGUAAGCGCAGCGAUGCGUUGAGCUAACCGGUACUAAUGAACCGUGAGGCUUAACCUUACAACGCCGAAG
rnacentral:rRNA from 1 species